rnacentral:rRNA from 1 species
GAUGAACGCUGGCGGCGUGCCUAAUACAUGCAAGUCGAGCGAAUGGAUUAAGAGCUUGCUCUUAUGAAGUUAGCGGCGGACGGGUGAGUAACACGUGGGUAACCUGCCCAUAAGACUGGGAUAACUCCGGGAAACCGGGGCUAAUACCGGAUAACAUUUUGAACCGCAUGGUUCGAAAUUGAAAGGCGGCUUCGGCUGUCACUUAUGGAUGGACCCGGGUCGCAUUAGCUAGUUGGUGAGGUAACGGCUCACCAAGGCAACGAUGCGUAGCCGACCUGAGAGGGUGAUCGGCAACACUGGGACUGAGACACGGCCCAGACUCCUACGGGAGGAAGCAGUAGGGAAUCUUCCGCAAUGGACGAAAGUCUGACGGAGCAACGCCGCGUGAGUGAUGAAGGCUUUCGGGUCGUAAAACUCUGUUGUUAGGGAAGAACAAGUGCUAGUUGAAUAAGCUGGCACCUUGACGGUACCUAACCAGAAAGCCACGGCUAACUACGUGCCAGCCGCCGCCGUAA